AGUGAACGCUGGCGGUAGGCCUAACACAUGCAAGUCGAACGGCAACACAGUGAGAGCAUGCUCUUACGGGUGGCGAGGGGCGGACGGGUGAGGAGUAAAUCGGACUCUACUUUGUCGCGGGGGUUAAGGAAGGGAAACAAAACCUAAUACGGGAUAGGACUAAGGGGGGAAAGCGGGGGAUAUUCGGGCCUAGGGGGAUUGAAUGGGCGGCUGUCGGGUUGGUUGGUUGGUGGGGUAAAGGCCCACCAAGGGGGCGAUGGGUGGCGGGUCUGGAAGGAUGAUCAGCCACACUGGGACUGAGACACGGUCCUGACUCCUACGGGAGGCAGCAGUGGCGACUAUUGGACGAUGGGCGCAAGCCUGAUCCAGCCAUACCGCGUUGGUGAAGCAGGCCUUCGGGUUGUAAAGCCCUUUUCUUGGUAAAGAAAAGCAGCACGUUAAUCCCCCGCUGUUCUGACGGUACCCAAAGAAUAAGCACCGGCUAACUUCGUG
rnacentral:rRNA from 1 species